CCUACGGGAGGCAGCAGUGGGGAAUAUUGCACAAUGGGGGAAACCCUGAUGCAGCGACGCCGCGUGAGUGAAGAAGGAAUUCGUUAUGUUAAGCUCUAUCAGCAGGGGAGAAAAUGACGGUACCUGAGUAAGAAGCCCCGGAUAACUACGUUCCAGCAGCCGCGGUAAUACGUAGGGGGCCAGCGUUAUCCGGAUUUACUGGGUGUAAAGGGCGCGUAGACGGCAGUGCAAGUCUGGAGUGAAAGGCGGGGGCUCAACCCCCGGACUGCCCUGGAAACUGGACGGCUGGAGUGCAUGAGAGGUAAGAGGAAUUCCUAGUGUAGCGGUGAAAUGCGUAGAUAUUAGGAGGAACACCAGUGGCGAAGGCGGCUUACUGGACUGUAACUGACGCUGAGGCUCGAAAGCGUGGGGAUCAAACAGGAUUAGAUACCCGGGUAGUC
rnacentral:rRNA from 1 species